rnacentral:lncRNA from 1 species
AUAAUAUUGCCACAUUUGUGACGGUGAAGAAAGAAGCAGUCGGGCUGUUAAAGACGAAACUGUUUAUUGGGCGAACCUGUGCCCAGGAAAUCAAAA